rnacentral:lncRNA from 10 species
AGAUAGAUAGGUAGGUAGAUACAUAGAUAGAUAGAUAGAUUUAUUAUUGAAUAUAUAUAACAAAAUGUUCUUAUUGUUCAUCAUAAUUUCCAAAUGACAUUUUUUUUCUAUUUGGUGUGGAAUAACUUUCAUAUCUUCCAUUAAUUUUUUUAGACAUAGUUCUUUUAUUUGAACAUGUUUUUGAUACCUGGUUUAAUGUCUUUGUCUAAUAAGUCCAACAUCUGGGCUUACUCUGGGACAAUUUCUUUUGACUACUUUUUUAUGUUUAUAGGCCAUACUUGCCUGUUCUUUUGUGU